GGUUGCUCACUCUCUAUUUCUGGCUUGCUAGAAAGACAACUGACCUCCGUUUCAGAAUGUGCUUCUCUUUGCAUCAUUUGAUCUUGCGAGUUUGUCUCCUGAGAGGUCUGUUUUAGGUCAGAUGCACUGUUGUCAAUCGGAGGUUGCUCCAAAUCAUCCAUUAAUGAAGAGGAAGUUGGCUGGCAUGCCUCAAACUUAAAGUCGGCUGCAUCGUAGGUAAUCAGAUUCUCCUCACCCUCUUUUAUGUCAGAUGUACUGUUGUCAAUCUGAGGUUUCUCCAAAUGAUCCAUUAAAGAGGAUGUUGGCUGGCAUGCCUCGAACUUAAAGUCAGUUGCAUAGUAGGUAAUCAGAUUCUCUUCACCCUCUUUUAUGUCAGAUGUACUGUUGUCAAUCUGAGGUUGCUCCAAAUCAUCCAUUACUGUAGAGGAAGUUGUCUGGCAUGCCUCGAACUUAGAGUUGGCUGCAUCAUGGGCGAUCAAAUUCUCUUCACUCUCUGAUGAAACCAAUGUCUCCCUUACAUAUAACUUUGGCUCAUUUGACUCAGG
rnacentral:lncRNA from 1 species